rnacentral:rRNA from 1 species
CCUACGGGAGGCAGCAGUGGGGGAAUUUUGGACAAUGGGCGAAAGCCUGAUCCAGCAAUGCCGCGUGAGUGAAGAAGGCCUUCGGGUUGUAAAGCUCUUUUGUCAGGGAAGAAACGGUGAUUUCUAAUACAGAUUGCUAAUGACGGUACCUGAAGAAUAAGCACCGGCUAACUACGUGCCAGCAGCCGCGGUAAUACGUAGGGUGCAAGCGUUAAUCGGAAUUACUGGGCGUAAAGCGUGCGCAGGCGGUUUUGUAAGUCUGACGUGAAAUCCCCGGGCUCAACCUGGGAAUUGCGUUGGAGACUGCAAGGCUAGAGUUUGGCAGAGGGGGGGUAGAAUUCCACGUGUAGCAGUGAAAUGCGUAGAUAUGUGGAGGAACACCGAUGGCGAAGGCAGCCCCCUGGGUCAAGACUGACGCUCAUGCACGAAAGCGUGGGGAGCAAACAGGAUUAGAUACCCUGGUAGUCCACGCCCUAAACGAUGUCUACUAGUUGUCGGGUCUUAAUUGACUUGGUAACGCAGCUAACGCGUGAAGUAGACCGCCUGGGGAGUACGGGUCGCAGAUUAAACUGAAAGGAUUGACGG